rnacentral:rRNA from 1 species
GAUGAACGCUAGCGGCAGGCCUAAUACAUGCAAGUCGAACGGAUAUAUGUUUUUCGGAAUAUAUAUUAGUGGCGCACGGGUGAGUAACACGUACAUAACUUGCCCUCAAGCGGGGGAUAGCCUUGGGAAACUGAGAGUAAUACCCCAUAGAAUUAUUGGACGGCAUCGUUUGAUAAUUAAAACUACGGUGUUUGGGGAUAGAUGUGCGUCUGAUUAGCUAGUUGGUGAGGUAACUGCUCACCAAGGCGACGAUCAGUAGGGGGCGUGAGAGCGUGGCCCCCCACACGGGUACUGAGACACGGACCCGACUCCUACGGGAGGCAGCAGUAAGGAAUAUUGGUCAAUGGAGGGAACUCUGAACCAGCCAUGCCGCGUGAAGGAUGACGGCCCUCUGGGUUGUAAACUUCUUUUGGAUGGGGGCGAAAAAAACGGGAUUUAUCCUGGACUGACGGUACCAUCAGAAUAAGUACCGGCUAACUCCGUGCCAGCAGCCGCGGU